rnacentral:ncRNA from 1 species
CAAAGGCGCCUAGCAGGUCUUACAAUUUCAUAGGUAAGUAGCAAUUUCCGUACAGGGAUGUACGGAAAAGGUAAUACUGAGCCUGGAUGGCGAAUUAUUACCGGUUGCGUGUAGGUUUUAUAGCGAAAAUAGAAAUUGUUAGAACUGCUUGGCAACG